GAAAAAUCAAGAAAGCAAGUUUCCAUGCAGAAUUAAAAUUAUAAUAUCAAUGGAGCAGAUAAUUUGGAUUCGAUACCACUUGAACCACAUCGAUGGGAUUUCAAGCGGCAGCUUUUCCCAUUUGCAGUGCUAGCGACAAUCGACCAACUAUUUCAAGAAGAAUUUCUAUACAUGUACAGAAUAUUAAACGUUUGUACAGCCAUAAAGAAAUUGUUAUACGGAAUUGAAUCUUGUAUCAGUACAACAGCAGUCCCUUUCCACUUUGUUGACAACAUUUUACCAGUCUAGUCCCUUCUUUCAACAGAAGUUAAUCACCGGUUCGUGCCCAAAAUGUUCUCCUCUUUCUACCUACUUUUGUUGAAAAUGCUAUCAAUGCAGUGUAUCCACGUAAGAGACUUCAGAUAGGUGGCAACAAAGCAAGAUGGAACUAGAAAAGUUGAACAGAGUUCUUGGAGAGAUCCAUGCCUGAUGAGUCAAUUAUUAGGUUAUUUUGCAAUUUAUCCCUGCUGGCUCAUAAGAAUUUCAACUGCUACAUUAAGAUCCCCAUCAGCAGCUGCCAGUGCAACUUCAACUUGUGUCUGAAACAAUGAAAAGGCACUUGCAUCGGCAAAUGAACUAUAACAACCUUUCCUUCCUAGCCUUUUAUUGUUCUGUAUUAACCCUAGCAUCUCUAUCUAUCUACUAUGAAUAUGCUAAAUUUUGCAUGAGAAGUCAUUUCAAUUGCGUUCCAAAUAUAAUUGACCUUAAAUCUCUUCAAGUACUUCAUUUUCUAUUUGGUGGGGGAUAAAUGAAAAUAGUUGCAGUCUUUUUACCUUCUCAAAACCCAUAGAUACAAGUUUUUGGAUUUGUUCAUCAGAAGCAACUGAAUCCUGAAUCCAGUAGACCAUAGAACCACAAAUGUUAGACCUGAACCAAAAUCAAGAAUGUAGUAAGCAAAAUCUGAUUCUUAAACCUGAUGGCGUGUAAGGCCUUCUGGAGCUGCUGCAACUGUAUUAUCUACUGCUGACCUCCUGCAUUCCAAGAACAAAAGAGAAAUGACUUUUCACUUGCAGGAAGGAGAAAGAGGGCAAAAAAGUGAACAUGAUACAAUGCUAUCAAUGAUAUUUAACAUUGAACGCAUUACAAGUGAACAGCCUUCCUCAGAGAACUUUGGUGAGACAUAAAUGUUGGAUUCCAGAAUAGAAAAAUGCAUGUAUCUGCAUUGAUGCUCAUGCAUAUAUGUUUAAAUGUGUAUAUAUCAUUGAAAAAUAUCUAUAAUUUUUGCAUCUGUUACAUUCUAGAUUCUCCAAUGCUUGAAUUACCUGUAGCAAAAAGAUUAAAGACCACAGCUAAUUUAAAUCACUCAGCCUAGAUUACUACAUAAAAGGGUUACAUUGAACUACACAGCUAAUAAUUUGAAGCUAGCUGACAAGUGCACUUGAAAAUUUUUCCAAUGAUCCAUGAUUAAACAUCAAGAUCAUUCAUAUUUUUCCUGGGAACAGUUAAAUCUAUAUUCCAUUGGAGCAAAAAUCAAGAAUCACAAGUUCCCAAGGCUAGGCCAGGUUUUGGUCUUUAAGAUGAUCUACGAGCCGCAUGAAAAAACUCUUCCUGAUACCUUCCAUCUGAUAGCCUCUCUACUGUACCCGUUGCAGCCAAAUUAGAUGAAUGGUCUGAGUUGUUAUUAUCCAAGAGUCUAGCCUGCAGAUUCGAAUCUGAAUUGACAGCAGGAAUCACUUGACUGCCUGUAGAACCAAGAGUCCUUCCCCUCCCGGGAAACCUGCUGUCUUGUGUAGACUGAGCAAAUGUUUCCCUCUGAGGCAUCCAUGAAGACAAGUUCCUCCAUAUAUUUCCGGAUAAUAAUCCACUGUUCAGAUAAAUUUCUCAAGUUACACAUCCUGCAGGAGUAAAGUUUUUGCCAUAGAAAGCAAAUUUACCUGGAGGUUGUGUUUUGGCUGGAAUAUGUGGGUAUGUACCCUGUCGGAUUCCCACCAGUGCACAUAAUAAAUUUGGGCCGCCUCACACAAGAGGAAAGCAAAGAGGAGGCCUCAAUGGCAGAAUAGAAAGUUGUUCCAGGCAUCAAGACGUUGAACAAGCCAUAGGUAUCUGAAAAUAUAAAGACAAAUUUUGAAUUGAUGGAGUUUAUAAAGUAAAACAAAAUGCAAAGGGGAAAAACGAUAAAUUUUUAAAUGGAAAUGGGGAUUACAUACAUGCAAAUCCUGACAAGAUGCCACACAGAUGUCCAAGUAAAGAGACAUUCGUCAUAAGAAGCUGGAAUACUAUCAAUAAAAUAAACGCAUACCUGAAACACAUAUUUCAACUAGAGAUGCUACAGCUUCAAGUAAAUGCAGAAGAAUAAGAUAAUCAAGCAUACAAAAUCAAGCAUACAGAAUGUUUUUGUGCUUGUGUAUGUAUCAUUGGAGAAGUUACAGUAUUUACCACUUAGCAGGAACAUUAAAGAGACCAAACACACUCCUUGACUGAACUCCACUCAAGCUUGUCUCUAUCACAAUCAUGGAAAAUAAGAUUCCGGAGAAGCCUAUUGCACACUCAUCCAUGAGAUACUGAUUUGGACGAAAAGGAUUAUGAGCUACCAGCAAUGCUAUUAGAAGAUGAAAUAUAGCAUUGCUUGUAGCCAACAAAAUCGUCAAGUAUAGCAAGCGGAUAGAUCCCAUGAUUCUCUCGAGUUCAGAACCCAAAGGCACCAAAGCCAGCAUGUUGAACAGCACAUGAAGCAAUGAACCAUGAAAAAUAAUGGAUGUAUAAAUCCUGUAAACUGCACACCAAAAGAAUUAAGUUCAUGGUUUGAAGCCUAGCAUGAGUUAUGAAGACAUACAAGCACAAGCGAUGAGACGAAAGGAUCUGAUCCCUUCAUAUACUAAGAUUGAAUAAUUUAAAACACGACCAUAUAUCCAUGUAAUCUGACGUAGAAGGUUUCUAAUAGGGCCAUACCGGCCUAAAGUCUUAAUUAAGUGUGGCUUGAAACUAAACGCUUAGUUUAGAUAAUGUUUAUCUAAAUCUCAUGGUUUAUAUUCCAACCAAGAUUUCAGGCUAAACCAAAAUGGGGGCAAAAGGAAAGAAAAUAAAAUAAAGCACAAAUCCAUUGUGGGGAACGUAUCCUCAUAUGAAAGAUUUUCUAAUAUUACUUUCCUUAUAAUUGUAUAUCAAUAUGCAUCAUUAGAUGUGAAUUUACCUUGAAAUCAUGAGAUAACAGCAGAUGGCAAGAAGCAUAUUUCAUAAAAGGAGUCAUAUCCGAUGAAGAGGCAAACCAAGUAGAUAGUCCCACAAACAAUCACCACUGCAGAAGUUAGAAACGGAAUGCUUUCCCACCAUUGCCCCACUCUAGUAGGCAAUCCUGCCUGUAGACCAAUUAAAACGAAAGGUAUAACCGAAGCAUAACAAAAGCUACAUGAAAACUCAUAAGGAAACCUGAUAUUGUCUGUUUUCCAACUAAUUAUGUAUGACCACAUUUUCAGGUUAAUUUAGCCAAAGAUAAUAAGUCUAACAGACCAAAUAUAUCAAAAAGUUAGAAGAAUCUCCUAUCUUGUUCAUCCUCAGCUGGCAUUUCAAUUCUACUUUUAAGUUAGUUCAUAUUCAGCCACCUCAUAGUCAGGAAUGGAUCAAAUCAAACCACAUUUCACCACUUCAAGAUGCAAAAACGAAUUAUGAUGUCAACUUAACAGAGUUACAAAACAGAUCUACAUAUAUUCCAAUUAAACACGAAUAAAAAAAAUUUUUUUUUUCCAUCCUGCAUUUUCUUGGUUUAUAAUUUCAAGGCGCCGAAACAUUAACACAUCAACACGCAGCUAAUAAGUGCAGUAACAGAAAAUUUCCGCCGAAAACAAAAACUCUCACAGUCUCUGUUUGAUUGUUUAGAGUAGAGAGAGCGAUAAAAAAAGGGUUAGUGAUUUUUCCAAAAAGAGAAAAAGGAAAAAAGAAAAUCACCAAGCAAGUCAAACAGUAGUAAUUAACAGAGCUAAGCGGAGCCUUCGCUCAAUCAUUUGUGACAAUUCGUUUCUCUAAGCGAAAAAAGAGAGAUUCAAACUUUUCAUUUCAUUUCUUUUGCCGCAUUUUACCAGAAACCAAACAACCAAAAGAGGUAAAAAAAAGAGUUACAAUUAAGAAACCCUAACGCUAAGCAUUGAGAUUGAAGGGUGAAGAAGGAAAGUGAAGAUCGGGAGCUCA
rnacentral:misc_RNA from 1 species